rnacentral:misc_RNA from 1 species
GCACAAACAUUUCUACAGGGGAGGAGGUUGCCAUCAAGUUAGAAUGUGUCAAGACAAAGCACCCACAGCUUCACAUAGAAAGCAAGUUUUACAAAAUGAUGCAGGGGGGAGUGGGGAUCCCUACCAUCAAGUGGUGUGGCACAGAAGGAGAUUACAAUGUCAUGGUGAUGGAGUUACUGGGUCCUAGUCUGGAGGACCUAUUCAACUUCUGUUCAAGGAAAUUCAGUCUGAAAACAGUGCUCCUGCUGGCAGAUCAGCUGAUAAGCCGCAUUGAAUAUAUACAUUCAAAAAAUUUCAUACACAGAGAUGUCAAACCAGACAACUUUUUAAUGGGACUGGGCAAAAAAGGAAACUUGGUCUACAUUAUAGACUUUGGCCUUGCCAAAAAAUACCGUGAUGCUAGAACGCACCAACAUAUUCCAUAUAGGGAAAAUAAGAAUCUCACAGGGACUGCUAGAUAUGCAAGUAUAAACACACAUUUAGGCAUAGAACAAAGCAGGCGAGAUGAUAUGGAAUCAUUAGGCUAUGUAUUUAUGUAUUUCCUACGUGGAAGCCUGCCUUGGCAGGGCCUAAAAGCUGCAACAAAAAGACAAAAAUACGAAAGGAUAAGUGAGAAGAAAAUGUCUACACCAAUUGAGGAGCUGUGUAAAGGAUUUCCCUCGGAAUUUGCUACAUACCUCAACUUCUGUCGCUCUCUGAGGUUUGACGACAAACCUGAUUAUUCCUAUCUUCGGCAACUCUUCCGAAACUUAUUCCACAGACAGGGGUUCACAUAUGACUAUGUAUUUGACUGGAAUAUGCUGAAAUUUGGUAGCAGUCGGAGCAACGAGGAAUCGGAAAGAGAUCGACGGGACCGCCACGUACAUAGUUCAACUACGCGUGCGCUCCCCGGCACAGCACAAGGUCGUACACGCAGCACAGAACAAGCCAUGCCCAGCCCUGGUGCUGAUUACGCUGGUAAGCGAGGCAGACGGCCUGGCAAAGCCAAGGUCAAGCAGGCUAAACUGACUUGAACAGUAGAUGUGUUCUGAUGUGUGCGUACCUAGUUUCCACUUGGAAUUUAGACAGUAUUAUGGUCAUAAGAGAAAUUUUUUUAAUGACAAGACUAAUCAUGCAAUAUUGAAGAUUGAACAAUCAUUAUCAGAGUGAACAGUUAAAAUGUUGCAAUUGAUGAUUACUUAGGUUGUUUUGCUGUUGAUUUAAUGUGAAAAUCAAAUAAUGCAUUGAGGUUGACCUCAGUUUUGUUGUAAUAGUUUGAUUGUUUCAAAAGAGCGAUUAUAAUAACGAUGAUCUUUGCAUUUAUGAUGUGAUUAUGACUGCUGCAUGUUGCUGCCCUGUUCAAAUAUUUGAUUUGUGAUUUUGAAGCUUUGAGAAUUUCUAGCUGUAGGUUUUAUGCUUUAACUCUUCAAAAGAGACACUAUGACUGAUAUUUAAUUAACAUUUAAAAAAAAAAAGCUUAAAAAUGAUGUCUUUAAAGAUUUAUUUUUUCAUUUUGGUUCAUUAAUACAUUUUCCCAUAUGCUGGCAGAAGUUCCUGCUUAAAUGUGAUUUCAAUGCUGAUUUGCCCUCCCUUGUUUCACUGAAAGAAAAAAAAGCCAAAUAUGGUGAAUUGCCACAUAUUCCCUAAAAUGAAAACUGCAAGUGUAAUUUGCUGAAAGUUGUCCUGCUUCAGUUUCUGUAUUUAAAAUGUAUGGGUAGAAUUAACAGGAAUGUUGUUGACAAAGUGAUGGCAUUAAUUUUUUUUCACCAGUUUUGUAUGGCAUGUAAUAUAUUUACUAGAGAUAGUUCAUUGAAAUACAUUAUAUGCUUAGCCAAAUAAACAUUUCUUGUGCGUCUGAUGAGCUGUAGUGAAUAACCCAGCACAAGUUCUACAUAUAUACAACUAGUAACAAGCAGCAUGAUGAUGAGGAUGAUGGUGGUGAUGAAUGAGAAAUAAACACACUGAACAGCUACUUGUUUUCUUCUUAUUUGAGGUGCCCUGCCCAAUGCUUGUCCCACAG